GACGAACGCUGGCGGCGUGCCUAACACAUGCAAGUCGAACGGGGUGAGAUCCUUCGGGGUUUCACUUAGUGGCGAACGGGUGAGUAACGCGUGAGAAACCUGCCUUUCAGUGGGGGACAACAGUUGGAAACGACUGCUAAUACCGCAUAACGUAUAUUGGGGGCAUCCCUGAUAUACCAAAGCUUUAUGUGCUGAAAGAUGGUCUCGCGUCUGAUUAGCUAGAUGGCGGGGUAACGGCCCACCAUGGCGACGAUCAGUAGCCGGUCUGAGAGGAUGAACGGCCACAUUGGGACUGAGAUACGGCCCAGACUCCUACGGGAGGCAGCAGUGGGGAAUAUUGGGCAAUGGGGGAAACCCUGACCCAGCAACGCCGCGUGAAGGAAGAAGGCCUUCGGGUUGUAAACUUCUUUGUCAGGGAAGAGUAGAAGACUGUACCUGGCGAAUAAGCCACGGCUAACUACGUG
rnacentral:rRNA from 1 species